rnacentral:rRNA from 1 species
AUUGUCCUACGGGGCGCAGCAGUGGGGAAUAUUGCACAAUGGGGGAAACCCUGAUGCAGCAACGUCGCGUGAGGGAAGAAGGCCCUGCGGGUCGCAGACCUCUUUGGACGGGGAGCAAGGCCGCCGACAUGUCGGCGGAAGGAGAGUACCCGUAGAACAAGCAUCGGCUAACUCCGUGCCAGCAGCCGCGGUAAUACGGAGGAUGCGAGCGUUAUCCGGAUUUAUUGGGUUUAAAGGGUGCGCAGGCGGCACGGCAAGCCGGCGGUCAAAUCGCGGGGCUCAACCCCGCCCAGCCGUCGGAACUG